rnacentral:rRNA from 1 species
UACAGAGGUCUCAACCGUUGUUCGGAUUCAUUGGGCGUAAAGGGUCCGCAGGCGGUCUGACAAGUACUUUGUGAAAUCCCAUGUCUCAACCAUGGAACCGCUCGGUAAACUGUCAGACUUGAGUGCAAAAGGGGUCGCUGAAACUCUAGGUGGAGCGGUGAAAUGCGUUGAUAUGCAUAGGAACGCCGGUGGCGAAGGCGGCAUGCUGGACCCUUUCUGACGCUGAGGCGCGAAAGCCAGGGGAGCAAACGGG